CCCUACGGGGAGCAGCAGGGAGGAAUAUUGGUCAAUGGCCGGAAGGCUGAACCAGCCAUGCCGCGUGAAGGUCAGUGCCCUAUGGGCGUUAAACUUCUUUUGUGCGGGAGCAAUAAUGGUCACGUGUGGCCAGACGAGAGUACCGUACGAAUAAGCAUCGGCUAACUCCGUGACAGCAGCCGCGGGAAUACGGGGGAUGCAAGCGUUAUCCGGAUUUAUUGGGUUUAAAGGGUGCGUAGGCUGUGAGGUAAGGCAGCGGUGAAAUGCCCCCGCUCAACGGGGUGAAGUAACAUUGAUACUGCCUUGCUGGAAUGCGGAUGCCGUGGGAGGAAUGUGUGGUGUAGCGGUGAAAUGCAUAGAUAUCACACAGAACACCGAUUGCGAAGGCAUCUCACGAGUCCGCGAUUGACGCUGAUGCACGAAAGCGUGGGUAUCAAACAGGAUUAGAUACCCCUGUAGU
rnacentral:rRNA from 1 species